AGAUGGCGACCGGCGCACGGGUGAGUAACACGUAUCCAACCUGCCGAUAACUCGGGGAUAGCCUUUCGAAAGAAAGAUUAAUACCCGAUGGCAUAAUUAGACCGCAUGGUCUUAUUAUUAAAGAAUUUCGGUUAUCGAUGGGGAUGCGUUCCAUUAGGCAGUUGGUGAGGUAACGGCUCACCAAACCUUCGAUGGAUAGGGGUUCUGAGAGGAAGGUCCCCCACAUUGAAACUGAGACACGGUCCAA
rnacentral:rRNA from 1 species